CGGGGCGUGGCGCAGCUUGGUAGCGCGCUUGCUUUGGGUGCAAGAAGUCGUGGGUUCAAAUCCCGCCGCCCCGACCC
rnacentral:tRNA from 1 species